AGGGGCGGGAAGGGACCCGGGGGCGGGGAAAGCCGCCCUAGUUUAAGGGGUUCCGGGCCGUCGCUCAGGCCUGGCAGAGCCCAGGCAGCCCGUCAGCACGCGCACAGCGGACUCUGCCGACGAAGCACAAUUGGGAGUGUUUCACAAAGGGCGGGAGAAAUGGGGGACAGCUAGUGCUCCCAGGUUUCCUCGUGGUCCGCGGGGAAAAGCCCGGCGUCCGGGUGCUGCGGGGGGACGAAGGGACGCUGGAAGAGCCAGAGGAGCGCUGAAGUAAAAUGUCCUGUGGGUGAUUUAUAUCCUUGGUCGUGACCUCGAUCUGUACAGCGAAGCCUCGUGAGGGGACGGACAUUGUCGCGUGGGCAUCAUAUCCACAGCGACUAACCAGGGUACAGAUUAAUUUCUGCCUCUAUAGAAGUUUUGUGUACAAGUCAUGCUGCCCUUAGCUGCACUAUUAUCUUGCCAUCCAAGACGUCACAGCGUCACGGAUCAUUGAGACCUCCGCUGUAACCAGUGAUGUGGGGAGUUGUUCCUUUCCCACACACCACCUGCUGGCUCUUCAGGUAUACCUGGAGAGAUGAUGUCAUUGUUGAUGGUGCUUUAUGAUCUGGGUAUUGUGUAUGUGUGAAGCUGACUCAAGACUACCAAGCCCUCUUGUUUUGUUUCAUUUGCUGUCCUGGGGAUUGAGCCCAGGGCCUUGCACAUGUUAAACAUUGCUUCUAACACUAAACUACACCCCCAACCCCUUGUCAUCCUCAUUUUAACUUCUUGAUGAUGUAGUCAUCUAUGCCACUCGCAAAUAUCCAUGACAUUCGGUUUUUCCUGAUUGUCUAAAAUUGUAUUGUACUCCUUUUGUCCAUUCUCUUUCAAGAAAAGGUG
rnacentral:lncRNA from 1 species